GAUCAUGGCUCAGGAUGAACGCUAGCGACAGGCUUAACACAUGCAAGUCGAGGGGCAGCAUAAAAGUAGCAAUACUUGGUGGCGACCGGCGCACGGGUGAGUAACGCGUAUGCAACCUACCUAUCAGAGGGGAAUAACCCGGCGAAAGUCGGACUAAUACCGCAUAAAAACAGGGGCACCGCAUGGUGAUAUUUGUUAAAGAAAUUCGCUGAUAGAUGGGCAUGCGUUCCAUUAGGUAGUUGGUGAGGUAACGGCUCACCAAGCCGACGAUGGAUAGGGGAACUGAGAGGUUGGUCCCCCACACUGGUACUGAGACACGGACCAGACUCCUACGGGAGGCAGCAGUGAGGAAUAUUGGUCAAUGGGCGGGAGCCUGAACCAGCCAAGUCGCCGUGAAGGAAGAAGGAUCUAUGGUUCGUAAACUUCUUUUGCAGGGGAAUAAAGUGCAGGACGUGUCCUGUUUUGUAUGUACCCUGAGAAUAAGGAUCGGCUAACUCCGUGCCAGCCGCCGC
rnacentral:rRNA from 1 species